rnacentral:rRNA from 2 species
UAGGGAAUCUUCGGCAAUGGACGAAAGUCUGACCGAGCAACGCCGCGUGAGUGAAGAAGGUUUUCGGAUCGUAAAACUCUGUUGUUAGAGAAGAACAAGGACGUUAGUAACUGAACGUCCCCUGACGGUAUCUAACCAGAAAGCCACGGCUAACUACGUGCCAGCAGCCGCGGUAAUACGUAGGUGGCAAGCGUUGUCCGGAUUUAUUGGGCGUAAAGCGAGCGCAGGCGGUUUCUUAAGUCUGAUGUGAAAGCCCCCGGCUCAACCGGGGAGGGUCAUUGGAAACUGGGAGACUUGAGUGCAGAAGAGGAGAGUGGAAUUCCAUGUGUAGUGGUGAAAUGCGUAGAUAUAUGGAGGAACACCAGUGGCGAAGGCGGCUCUCUGGUCUGUAACUGACGCUGAGGCUCGAAAGCGUGGGGAGCAAACAGG